rnacentral:ncRNA from 1 species
ACAUAGUAAGGAUUGACAGAUUGAGAGCUCUUUCUUGAUUCUAUGGGUGGUGGUGCAUGGUCGUUCUUAGUUUUUGGAGCGAUUUGUCUGGUUAAUUCGAUAACGAACGAGACCUCAUCCUGCUAACUAGCUACAUGGAGGUUCCCCUUCGCGACCAACUUCUUAGAGGGACUAUGGCCAUUUAGGCCAUGUUCAACAACUUUUAUUUUUUUUUGUUAAUUUGACGAAGAUCAACAAGCUUUCAUUUGAUGAUUAGUCCUGAUGAUGAAUCUCGCUUCAGAUUCAAAAUGUCGAUGACGAAAAAUGACACCAGCUGUGGAUUAUCCAGAUAACACCUUUGAAACUCCUCACCACAAAAAUUUGAAAACAACAUAAUUACAUGUUUCAUAAUCAUAUUAUAUGAAGUCUUGAC